rnacentral:rRNA from 1 species
UACGGAGGGUGCAAGCGUUGCUCGGAAUUAUUGGGCGUAAAGGGUAGGUAGGUGGUCUCAUUUGUCUGGGGUGAAAGCCUUGAGCUUAACUCAAGAAGUGCCCCAGAAACGGUGAGACUGGAGUCCUGGAGAGGGGCGUGGAAUUCCGGGUGGAGCGGUGAAAUGCGUAGAGAUCCGGAGGAACACCGACGGCGUAGGCAGCGCCCUGGACGACACCUGACGCUGAGGCACGAAAGCUGGGGGAGCGAACAGG